GCUGGAAUGGCCGAGUCGUUAAGGCGAGUGAUUUGAAUUUCUCACUAUCACUUGGUGUUUCACCGCGUAGGUUCAAAUCCUGCUUCCAGCG